GCGGGAAUAGCUCAGUUGGUAGAGCACAACCUUGCCAAGGUUGGGGUCGCGAGUUCGAGUCUCGUUUACCGCUCCA
rnacentral:tRNA from 1 species